UGAAGGAUAGCUCAGUUGGUGGAGCAUGAGACUCUUAAUCUCAGGGUCAUGUUCGGGCCCCAUGUCGGGCAA